GGGGGGCAGGCUUGUGUUCUUCUAUCCUGUAUUGAGAGAAGAUGAUUAUUCAGAAAUUCAUUUCCCAGAGCAUCCAUGUUUUAAACUGAUUUGUUCUUCUGAGCAAAUUCUUAGCUCACGUUAUAGCCGGGUGUUACUUACGAUGGUCAAGACAGGUCCUUACACCGAGGAAAUAGCUGAGGCAGCUAGGGUUAAACACAUGGAGUUUAAGGAUAACCAUUUAAAAUGGUUAGAAGACGGUAAUCUUCAUUCUGCGGUUUUUAGUCCAUCUAAUGCUCAGUUAACAGAGGAGGCGGGUGAGUCGAAGUUUCUUAAGGAUCCAAGGCCUAAAUACAGAGGAAAGUAUGUUUAGGAUUAUAUGUUAGAUGGUCUAGUCCCUCAUCAUCACUAUGAAUGGCUCUGUAUUUUUCAGUGUCCAAGAGGAAAAGUUGUCACACUAUAUGGAAGUUCGUGUACCAUAACCACACACUCUUGUUAUUCAAUUCUUGGUCUUUUUUUUCUUCUAUUUUUUAAAGUCUCAUUAACAUAACGGGUGAGCAUCUUUGAUCCGAUGUUUUAACCGUAAUCAUUAUGGUUCCAUUCCACCCAUGUAGCCGGCUUUACUUGGGAAAAACUUGAUUGUUAUUAUAUUGCUUGUGUGGUGGAAGCUUAUUCUGAUCAAACUUUUUUUAUGUCUGCAUGUGAUGCUAUUUUGUUUACUUAGAUCCAGUUAGUCUGUCUCACUAUAAAGCAUAAUCAAAGCUGAGUUAUGAGGAUAUGAUCAAAUUCAAUAUCUAAUUAUUGUGCUUUUGGCUUCAUUAUUAAUAAUUGUUUAAAAAUGAGGCAAGAAAUAGUGUUCAUAUCUUAGAAAACUCAAUUAACUUGACCAGGCAAAAAAUAUAUAGCUAUUGCCAUUUGGCCUCUAAUCAGUAUUAUAGUAAUAAUGACAUAAUAUUCCAUGAGACAUAAGAUACAAAGAUGUAUUAAGAAAAAUAUUUUUUCUUGUUCAAAGACACUCUUCUAGUGUAAGGUAUUACAUAAAUGGGUCAUAGCUCAUGAUCACAUGCCUAGGUAGUUUCGGUUGUCAAUAAUAGGCCUAAAUACCAAUAAAGUGUAAAGCCUGACUAAAUCCCUAUGUAUAGUAUUAGGCCAAAUGUCAAAUGUUCGAUUCCUAUGAGCAACAAUUAUUAGAAGGGAUAACCACACACUCAGAAAAAGAUUGAUUCCUUACUCAUAGGAUGAAGAAUUUACUAUUGGUUGUAUCAGAAAAGAGGCUUAAAUCGUGAUACUAUGGCUGCAAAAAGGAUUUGGUAGCUUGUAAUUUUUAACCCCCACAUCUUUCUCAUUGUUAUUAUUGGCUCCCAAUACCAAUGUGCCCUUUGAGAGUAUUGAACAUUGUUUUGGUUCUAUAUGAUUGGCAUGCAUGGGAAAGUCGAAGUGGCAUUUCAUUCUUACAAGUGUUAAGGGAAGCCAUGAAGUACAAAGGGAAAAUGAGAUUGGUAAUAGAAGACACUCUCCUUAUGGAGGAUAUUAUAUAGAAGGACGGUGAUAAAUAAAUAGUGUUAGUGUCCACAGCACUAUGAGGGGUUGCCAACUGUUAAAUAAUUCCCAAAAACCCAACCAACAAUGAAUGAGGAUAUAAUUAAUUGUGUUUAGGAUAUAAUUUAAAACCAAUUCCAAUUGAGUCUAGAAUAUCACUAAAACUCAAGGAAUAUCAAUAUAAUCUACUCUAAAUAAAAUUAAUACAUGAUUCCAAAACCUUACCUUUUAUGUGAAAGGUGGUCUUUGUUGAGCAAUUGAAGUGUUUUUUCACUCAUGUGUCUCAAUUGUCUAUGCCAAAAAUAUUUGGAGUUGAUAGCAACAUUUGUUUCUUGAGAAUAAAUUAUGGCCCACAUAAUAUAUAAAGAUCUUUCAUUUGAACAUCGAGCAAUGAGUAGCAAGAUCUUUCACCAAUAAUGAUAAUCUUGCUUGUAACAUGAUUUCUCAUUUUCAUAGUAACAUAGUCACAUUUCUUACAUGGAAAUGGAUACCAAAGUCAAUGAUCCAAGACCAAUCAACAUGUGUACAAUUUAGGUAAUU
rnacentral:lncRNA from 1 species